rnacentral:lncRNA from 1 species
CUCUUGAGGCUAUUAUGUUGGUCUCGAAGGAACAAAUGUUGGAUCUGAUGCUCUAAGUAUAAUAUUUUCGUCUAAGUACACUUAUAAUUUUUCGAACAUAUUGGUUAAUAAAUUUAUUCAUGAAUUACAUCAAUACUUUGUAUAUUAUCCUCACAUGUUUUUUGCACGCAAAGCAAAAUGGAAGAGAAUGUUACUUAUUGAUU